rnacentral:snRNA from 1 species
UUUGCUUCUCGGCCUUUUGGCUAAGAUCAAGUGUAGUAUCUGUUCUUAUCAGUUUAAUAUUUUUUUUUUUUGAGACAGAGUCUUUGUCUGUCACCCAGGCUGGAGUCCACUGGCAUGAUCUCAGCUCACUUCAA